rnacentral:rRNA from 1 species
AUGCCUUCGGCUUCGUCGGCGGUGGGGAGGCUGCAGGCGGCGGCGCAGGACGCCGCCAACUCCUCCUCCUCCUCGCGCUCCGCCUUCUCCAACCAGCUCCUCGUGCCCAGGGAGGCAGGACGGAUGGUGUCUCUGUCGGCUUGCGCGAAGUUCGGCGCUGUCAGCUUUGUGGUUGGCGUCGUGGUUGGCUUCACCCUGAAUAAAAGGCUGCGCCGGUGGGCUGCCAAGCUGCUCAAGAGAAUUAAGGACGAUAACUAG